CCUACGGGCGGCAGCAGUGGGGAAUAUUGCGCAAUGGGCGAAAGCCUGACGCAGCAACGCCGCGUGAAGGAAGAAGGCUUUCGGGUUGUAAACUUCUUUUCUGAGGGACGAAGAACGUGACGGUACCUCAGGAAUAAGCCGCGACUACCUCCGUACCAGCAGCGGCGGUAAGGCGUAGGUGGCAAGCGUUAUCCGGAUUUAUUGGGUGUAAAGGGGGUGGAGGGGGGAAAGCAAGUCAGAUGUGAAAACUCAGGGCUCAACCCUGAGCCUGCAUUUGAAACUGUUUUUCUUGAGUGCUGGAGAGGCAAGCGGAAUUCCGGGUGUAGCGGUGAAAUGCGUAGAUAUAAGGAGGAACACCAGUGGCGAAGGCGGAUUGCUGGACAGUAACUGACGCUGAGGCGCGAAAGCGUGGGGAGCAAACAGGAUUAGAUACCCCUGUAGUC
rnacentral:rRNA from 1 species